CUGGUUACAGAUGGACUGGAAAUGUAUCAUUUAUGUCUUAAUAUUAAUGAUGGUUCAUUUGAACCGUUUCUGUAGGCGCUAAAGAGAGAGUGGAGGAGGAGGAGGACCAAGAGGAGAUCCAGCGAGAGGCCUUUUCCCUUGGGCCAGACGCUGUGGGCACCCCCCAGCCUGUCAGAGCCCUCAUCCAGGGAGAGAGGGGCUACUCCUCUGCAGUGAAGUACAAGAUAACAGCCACUCCUGGGGGCGGUUAGAGCCAGCAGAGGGGGCGUUUCCGGGUCGACGGUCAGGAGGUGCGCUUCUUCACCCCCGUGAGACGUUCGGUGAGGAUCGAGAGGGUCUCCCUGGGCUACCCGGCCUACCUCCGAGAGCAGGACCCGUGCGUGGCCUCCUACGACGACCUCCUGGCCGAGGACGAGCCGGAGGGGAGUGGGGAGCGGCAGGAGGCGAGCGGCGGAGCGUCUCACCAGUGCACCGCUACGCCCGUCUACGUUUACCGAGAGAACGAGGCCCUCCAGGACCAGGUGAAGGUGCAGUUGGUCUACGACGACGACGAGUGAGCUCGGCAGCAUUCGAGUGAGGGUGGGGUUGAGUCGGCUUGAUCCUUCACACGAUCCUUCACAGAAACUCACACUCCUAUCUAUCCUUAUGUCACAGGAGACAUACAGGCCCUUGAAAUUCUGCAUUUUAACGAACUGAAAAUUUUAAAUAUUUAUAUUUCUUGGUUUCUUGGUCUAUAUUUCUUGCUAUUACAUGGUUCUAGAAAUAACUUUGUAACUUAAAAAAAAUAAUAAUUAUACUUGUGCUGGACAUCGAAUUCAAAAGCAUGGGUUUUGUAUGUGUGUGUAUAUGUAUUUUUCAUGAAAAGGUUGUAAAGGCUCAGAUUUUUCGCACAUGACCCUCCUAGAUUGUAUUGAAUGAGAUUUGGUAGUGACAAAGAUAAAUGUCUUAUUUCGUGAUGCAUAUUUCAUACUGUGCAUAUUGUAUUGUACGUCAUUUCUCACUCACUUAAAAAAUAAAUUAAAACUUCUCAAGGGA